rnacentral:rRNA from 1 species
UACGUAGGGUGCAAGCGUUAAUCGGAAUUACUGGGCGUAAAACGUGCGCAGGCGGUGAUGUAAGACAGUGGUGAAAUCCCCGGGCUUAACCUGGGAACUGCAUUUGUGACUGCAUCGCUGGAGUGCGGCAGAGGGGGAUGGAAUUCCGCGUGUAGCAGUGAAAUGCGUAGAUAUGCGGAGGAACACCGAUGGCGAAGGCAAUCCCCUGGGCCUGCACUGACGCUCAUGCACGAAAGCGUGGGGAGCAAACAGG